rnacentral:rRNA from 1 species
UGGCGGCGUGCUUAACACAUGCAAGUCGAACGGAAAGGCCUUUUCGGAGGUACUCGAGUGGCGAACGGGUGAGUAACACGUGGGUGAUCUGCCCUGCACUCUGGGAUAAGCCUGGGAAACUGGGUCUAAUACCGGAUAGGACCGCACUUUAGUGUGUGUGGUGGAAAGUUUUUUCGGUGUAGGAUGAGCCCGCGGCCUAUCAGCUUGUUGGUGGGGUAAUGGCCUACCAAGGCGGCGACGGGUAGCCGGACUGAGAGGUUGGUCGGCCACAUUGGGACUGAGAUACGGCCCAGACUCCUACGGGAGGCAGCAGUGGGGAAUAUUGCACARUGGGCGCAMGCCUGAUGCAGCGACGCCGCGUGGGGGAUGACGGCCUUCGGGUUGUAAACUCCUUUCGCCAGGGACGAAGCGUUUUGUGACGGUACCUGGAGAAGAAGCACCGGCUAWCUACGUGCCAGCAGCCGCGGUAAUACGUAGGGUGCAMGCGUUGUCCGGAAUUACUGGGCGUAAAGAGCUCGUAGGUGGUUUGUCGCGUCGUCUGUGAAAUUCCACAGCUUAWCUGUGGGCGUGCAGGCGAUACGGGCAUAWCUUGAGUACUGUAGGGGUAACUGGAAUUCCUGGUGUAGCGGUGAAAUGCGCAGAUAUCAGGAGGAACACCGAUGGCGAAGGCA